CCUACGGGAGGCAGCAGUGAGGAAUAUUGCACAAUGGGGGAAACCCUGAUGCAGCGACGCCGCGUGAAGGAAGAAGUAUUUCGGUAUGUAAACUUCUAUCAGCAGGGAAGAAAAUGACGGUACCUGACUAAGAAGCCCCGGCUAACUACGUGCCAGCAGCCGCGGUAAUACGUAGGGGGCAAGCGUUAUCCGGAUUUACUGGGUGUAAAGGGAGCGUAGGCGGUUUAGCAAGUCAGAAGUGAAAGCCCGGGGCUCAACUCCGGGACUGCUUUUGAAACUGUUGAACUAGAGUGCAGGAGAGGUAAGUGGAAUUCCUAGUGUAGCGGUGAAAUGCGUAGAUAUUAGGAGGAACACCAGUGGCGAAGGCGGCUUACUGGACUGUAAAUGACGCUGAGGCUCGAAAGCGUGGGGAGCAAACAGGAUUAGAUACCCGUGUAGUC
rnacentral:rRNA from 1 species